UUUAGGAUUCUUGUUUCCGGAGGCAUACUAAACUUUGUGACGCAAAAUUUUACCUGAUGCUGGGAUGUGCAAGCAGGAAUUUAUUUCACCAGUAUGCAACAGAUGGCCAUGCCAUCGUUCGCCGUAACCUCACCUCCGUCGCAUGGCACUACCUUAUGGGCGCCUCAUGCUCGUCGUCCUCAAAGACCGCACAAGAGACACGUGCGCAGCCAAGUCCGGGCAGUGGCACAAGCACAGCUGCAGUACCAGAAGCUGGGGGACUCAGACCUCCUCAUUAGUGAGGUCACUCUUGGAACGAUGACUUUUGGCGAGCAAAACACGGAGAAGGAAGCACAUGACAUUAUCGCUUAUUCUUUCGAUCAAGGUGUCAAUAUCCUAGACACAGCAGAAAUUUACCCAGUUCCAAUGAAUAAGGAAACUCAAGGGAGAACUGAUCUUUAUAAUGGCAGGUGGAUGCAAUCAAAACCAUGAGACAAGGGUUAUGUUGUGUACCUUGUCCGUGUGAGGCGUGGUGGUAGGAAGAGGCCUUUGCCCAAGUGUAUUAUCUAUGGCAAGCCCAAGCACCAGGGUAUCACCCAACUAAAGUUCUAGAGGUACAAGAGGUCUGUCGCUAAGGAGAGAGCUAGACACAAGCUUGGUGGACUGAGGGUUCUUAACUCCUACUGGGUGAACGAGGUACAUCGGAUUGUAACAUGAACAUUCCUCUUUGAACAUACUAGCUUGUUGAUUUCUGUCAAAUCUUUUUUGCUAAUUGCUUGACAUGCCGAGCCCAUCUAUACUAACAUAGGAUAGCACCUACAAGUACUUUGAGAUCAUCCUUGUGGACGUUGCCCACAAAGACAUCAAAACAGACCCGAUGAUCAACUAGCUAUGCAACCCUUUGCACAAGCAUUGUGAGCUCCAUGGCCUCACCUCAGCAAGCAAGAAGUUUAGUGGCCUGCACCGCAAUGGCCACACUCACCACAAGAACAAGCCCUCGAGGAGAGCCGCCUGGAAACGCAACCAGACCCUCUCCCUCCACAUGUACCGUUGAGCAGCUCGUUGGGUACUUGGAUACUAUCAAUGUCCGACCAGUCCCAAGCAAGACAACAAGAUUGGUUGUCUCUUGUUGCAUUUUCAAAGUUUUGCUAUUUGUGUUCUCGGCACUUAAUGUUAGUUUAGAAGUCAAUUAUGGAUCAUAUGUCAUGAACUUUU